rnacentral:rRNA from 1 species
GCGCAAGCCUGAUCCAGCCAUUCCGCGUGCAGGAUGAAGGCCUUCGGGUUGUAAACUGCUUUUGUACGGAACGAAAAGGCUCUUUCUAAUACAGAGAGCUCAUGACGGUACCGUAAGAAUAAGCACCGGCUAACUACGUGCCAGCAGCCGCGGUAAUACGUAGGGUGCAAGCGUUAAUCGGAAUUACUGGGCGUAAAGCGUGCGCAGGCGGUAAUGCAAGACAGAUGUGAAAUCCCCGGGCUCAACCUGGGAACUGCAUUUGUGACUGCAUUGCUGGAGUGCGGCAGAGGGGGAUGGAAUUCCGCGUGUAGCAGUGAAAUGCGUAGAUAUGCGGAGGAACACCGAUGGCGAAGGCAAUCCCCUGGGCCUGCACUGACGCUCAUGCACGAAAGCGUGGGGAGCAAACAGGAUUAGAUACCCUGGUAGUCCACGCCCUAAACGAUGUCAACUGGUUGUUGGGUCUUCAUUGACUCAGUAACGAAGCUAACGCGUGAAGUUGACCGCCUGGGGAGUACGGCCGCAAGGUUGAAACUCAGA